GGCUUGAUUGCGGCUCAGGAUUGAACGCUGGCGGGAUGCUUUAUUACGCAAGUCGAACGCAGCACUACUUCGGUCUGGUGGUGAGUGGCGAACGGGUGAGUAAUGUAUCGGAACGCGCCCAGGUAGGUGGGGAUAACUACGCGAAAGGUAGCUAAUACCGCAUACUGCCCUUCGGGGAAAGCGGGGACCUUCGGGCCUCGCACUAUUAGAGCGGCCGAUAUCGGAUUAGCGAAUAGGGGUAACGGCUCGUCAAGGCGACGAUCCGUAGUCUGGUUUGAGGAGACGACCAGCCACACUGACCGAGACAUCGGGCCCAGGACUCUACGGGAGGCAGCAGUGGGGAAUUUUGGAUUACCGGGGGAACUCUGAUCCAGCCAUCCUGGCGUGCGAUGAAGGCCUUCGCUGUAAAGCACUUUGGCAGGAAGAAAACGGCACGGAUAAUACCGUGCAACUGACGGUACCUGCAGAAUAAGCACCGGCUAACUACGCGCCAGCAGCCGCGGUAAUGUAGGAUGGAAAGCAGACUGAAUUACUAAGGUGAAUGUGCGCAGGCGGUUCGGAAAGAAAGAUGUAGAAAUCCCAGAGCGUUAUAGAACGGAACCUGCAUUUCUUUAACUAAUGAGGCCAGAGGUGUCAGAGGGAGGUGGAAUUCCGCGUGUAGCAGUGAAAUGCGUAGAUAUGGAGGAACACCGAUGGCGAAGGCAGCCUCCUGGGAUAACAUUGACGCUCAUGCACGAAAGCGUGGGAGCAAACAGGAUUAGAUACCCUGGUAGUCCACGCCCUAAACGAUGUCAACUAGCUGCUGGGGCCUUCGCCUUGCAGCGCAGCUAACGCGUGAAGUUGACCGCCUGGGGAGUACGGUCGCAAGAUUAAAACCUGUGCUGAAUUGACGGGACCCGCACAAGCGGUGGAUGAUGUGGGAUUAAUUCGAUGCAACGCGAAAACCUUACCUACUCCUUGACAUGUCUGGAAUCCUGAAGGAGAUUUGGAGUGCUCGCAAGAGAACCGGAACACAGGUGCGUUGCAUGGCUGUCGUCAGCUCGUGUCGUGAGAUGUUGGGUUAAGUCCCGCAACGAGCGCAACCCUUGUCAUUAGUUACACGAAAGGGCACCUCUAAUGAGACUGCCGGCGACAAACCGGGAGGAAGGUGGGGAUGACGUCAAGUCCUCAUGGCCCUUAUGGGUAGGGCUUCAUCAUACAAUGGUCGGGACAGAGGGUCGCCAACCCGCGAGGGGGAGCCAAUCCCAGAAACCCGAUCGUAGUCCGAUCGCGUCUGCAACCUCGACUUCUGGGUGAAGUCGGAACGCCAGGAUCGCGGAUCAGCAUGCUGCGGCGAAUACGCCCCGGGUCUUGUACACACCGCCCGUCACACCAUGGGAGUGGGUUUUACCAGAAGCGAAGCAGCUCAACCGUAAGGAGGCGAUUACCACGGUAGAUCCGAUCAAAGGUCGUAACAAGGUAGCUCUGUUACU
rnacentral:rRNA from 1 species